UAGGGAAUAUUAGAAAUGGACGGAAGUCUGAUCUAGCAACACCGCGUGUGCGAAGAGGGCCUUCGGGUCGUAAAGCACUUUUUGGAAGGAAUAGGAAGGAAUGUACUUCCAGAAUAAGUCUCGGCUAACUACGUGCCAGCAGCCGCGGUAACACGUAGGAGGCAAACGUUAUCCGGAUUUACUGGGCGUAAAGCGCGUGUAGGUGGUACUGUAAGUAGGGCGUGAAAGCUCCUGGCUCAACUGGGAGAGGCCGUUCUAAACUACAGAACUAGAGGAUGGUAGAGGGAGGUGGAAUUCCAGGUGUAGCGGUGGAAUGCGCAGAUAUCUGGAGGAACACCGGUGGCGAAGGCGGCCUCCUGGACCAUUCCUGACACUCAGACGCGAAAGCUAGGGUAGCAAGCG
rnacentral:rRNA from 1 species